GACGAACGCUGGCGGCGUGCUUAACACAUGCAAGUCGAACGGAAAGGCCCUGCUUGCAGGGUGCUCGAGUGGCGAACGGGUGAGUAACACGUGGGUGAUCUGCCCCUUACUUUGGGAUAAGCCUGGGAAACUGGGUCUAAUACUGGAUAGGACCAUGCUGUAGGUGGUGUGGUGGACAGAUUAGUUUCGGUAAGGGAUGAGCUCGCGGCCUAUCAGCUUGUUGGUGGGGUAAUGGCCUACCAAGGCGUCGACGGGUAGCCGGCCUGAGAGGGUGGACGGCCACAUUGGGACUGAGAUGCGGCCCAGACUCCGACGGGAGGCAGCAGUGGGGAAUAUUGCACAAUGGGCGCAAGCCUGAUGCAGCGACGCCGCGUGGGGGAUGACGGCCUUCGGGUUGUAAACUCCUUUCAGCCAUGACGAAGCCUUCGGGUGACGGUAGUGGUAGAAGAAGCACCGGCUAACUACGUG
rnacentral:rRNA from 1 species